AUGUGUCUGCGCGCGUGUGUGUGUGCCUGUGCGUGCUUGUGUGUAUGUGUACAUGCCUGCGCGUGUGUGUGUGCCUGUGUGUGCGUGCCUGUGUGUGUAUGUGUACGUGCUUGUGUGUGUGUGUGCGUGCCUGCGUGCGUGCUUGUGUGUAUGUGUACGUGCUUGUGUGUGUGUGUGUAUGCCUGUGUGUGCUUGUGUGUGUAUGUGUACGUGCUUGUGUGUGUGUGUGCGUGCCUGUGUGUGCUUGUGUAUGUGUACGUGCCUAUGUGCGUGCUUGUGUGUAUGUGUACAUGCCUGCGCGUGUGUGUGCGUGCCUGUGUGUGCUUGUGUGUGUAUGUGUACGUGCUUGUGUGUGUGUGUGCGUGCCUGUGUGUGCUUGUGUGUGUAUGUGUACGUGCUUGUGUGUGUGUGUGCGUGCCUGCGUGCAUGCUUGUGUGUAUGUGUAUGUGCCUAUGUGCGUGCUUGUGUGUGUACAUGCCUGCGCGUGUGUGUGUGUGUGCCUGUUUGUGCUUGUGUGUGUAUGUGUACGUGCUUGUGUGUGUGUGUGUGCGUGCCUGUGUGUGUGUGUGUGUGUGUAUGCGUGCUUGUGUGUGUGUUGUGCAUUGUGGUGUGUGUGUGUGUGCCUGUGUGUGCUUGUGUGUGUAUUAUGCGUGCCUAUGCGUGCGUGCUUGUGUACAUGCCUGCGCGUGUGUGUGCGUGCCUGUGUGUGCUUGUGUGUGUAUGUGUACGUGCUUGUGUGUGUGUGUGUGCGUGCCUGUGUGUGCUUGUGUGUGUAUGUGUACGUGCUUGUGUGUGUGUGUGCUGUGUGUGCUUGUGUAUGCGUGCCUAUGUGUGCUUGUGUGUAUGCAUGCCUCUGUGUGUGUGUACAUGCCUGUGUGCUGUGUAUGUAAUGCGUGCUUGUGUGUGUGUGUGUGCGUGCCUGUGUGUGGUGUGGCGUGCUUGUGUGUAUGUACAUGCCUGCGUGUGUGCGUGCCUGUGUGUGCUUGUGAAAGCCUGUGUGCUUGUGUAUUAUGCGUGCCUAUGGUGCUUGUGUGUAUGUGUACGCCUGCGUGUGUGUGCGUGCCUGUGUGCUUGUGUGUGUGUAUGCGUGCUUUGUGUGUGUGUGCGUGCCUGUGUGUGCUUGUGUGUGUAUGUGUACAUGCUUGUGUGUGCGUGCCUGUGUGUGCUUGUGUGUGUAUGCGUGCUUGUGUGUGGCCUGCGUGCAUGCUUGUAAUGCGCGUGCUUGUGUGUAUGUGUACAUGCCUGCGUGUGUGCGUGCCUGUGUGUGCUUGUGUGUGUGUAAUGCGUGCUUGUGUGUGUGUGUCGUGCCUGUGUGUGCUGUGUGUAUGCGUGCAUUAUGUCGUGCUUGUGUGUAUGUGUGCGUGCCUGUGUGCUUGUGUGUGUAAUGCGUGCUUGUGUGUGUGUGUGCGUGCCUAUGUGCGUGCUUGUGUGUAUGUGUACAUGCCUGCGCGUGUGUGUGCGUGCCUGUGUGUGCUUGUGUGUGUAUGUGUACGUGCCUAUGUGCGUGCUUGUGUGUAUGUGUACGUGCCUGUGUGUGUGCGCGUGUGUGUGUUGCAGGCCCUGGAUGCCAGACACUGA
ensembl:lncRNA